CUCAAUUUGAGUAAAAAAAACCCUUUGCUACUAAAUUGAGCAACUAUAUUAGCAUGGACUCGAACUAAUAGUAUGUGCUCGAACCGCGUUUGUUGACAGUUCAUUUUUCGGGUGUUAUUCGUUCGGCCGCGCGGUUUCAGGCUAAAAAAAUGUAAAUAAUUUCAUUUCUGUUUCUCUACAUUCGGCGAGAUAAAAUCCCAUGGAUUGUUAUUUCAAACAAUCCAUCGGUCGUGGCUGUUUCGUUAGCCAGUGAAUAUCUGUUCCCGGGACGUUCAUCUCAGGCUGUUUUAAAUUACCUUCCGGAUACUUUCGGUAUGAACGAUGAUACCUGCCUGUGGUAAAGCGGUCAACAAAAGACAACCCCACUCCAGACGAGAAGCUUGGGGAGGCGACGACCAAGGAGGGUUACGUAAUGAUGUUCUUGCUGUCGAAGGACAUUAUCCGGAAGUAACAGUGGUACAGUACGGAGCAUAGCAAAAAGCCUAACUGGAUGCUGCAGGAGCAGGUGAUCUCCCAAAAGCGGGAUUUUCAUCCUGUUGGAUGAUUCAUCUCAUGUUAAAGAUGGAAACAGUGCUUUGUACAUAGAGGAUAAUAAAACAAUGAUAUCCGACUAGGACGGAUCCGGACUCUAAUUCCAACUUUCCGCUGACAAUUGUGCAAUCCAAUAAAAUUCAGCACUCAUCAUCGACUCUCAGCGAAAUCAUGUCCAACGCCAUUUUCCGGGAAUCAUGUCCUAUGUGUUUUGUAUUAGGUACGCCACUGCGAUGCUGUUUCCGAAUGAUAUCAUUGCGUUGCUGGAACAAUAAGGCCUCGUUGCUUUAUUCACUUCUUGAUCUGUUUGUUAAAGGCGAGAAUUUAGAAACAUGUUGAGUUGAAGAUGGGCUUUCUACAACCAAGCUGAUUGGUGGCCCCAGAUGAAAGUAUAUAGUCUUAUGGCUUUUGUCAAAUGCCCUCAGGUAUAAUAUUGGCUCCAUCCA